AUUGAACGCUGGCGGCAGGCCUAACACAUGCAAGUCGAGCGGAUGAAGGGAGCUUGCUCCUGGAUUCAGCGGCGGACGGGUGAGUAAUGCCUAGGAAUCUGCCUGGUAGUGGGGGAUAACGUCCGGAAACGGGCGCUAAUACCGCAUACGUCCUGAGGGAGAAAGUGGGGGAUCUUCGGACCUCACGCUAUCAGAUGAGCCUAGGUCGGAUUAGCUAGUUGGUGGGGUAAAGGCCUACCAAGGCGACGAUCCGUAACUGGUCUGAGAGGAUGAUCAGUCACACUGGAACUGAGACACGGUCCAGACUCCUACGGGAGGCAGCAGUGGGGAAUAAUGGACAAUGGGCGAAAGCCUGAUCCAGCCAUGCCGCGUGUGUGAAGAAGGUCCUCGGAUUGUAAAGCACUUUAAGUUGGGAGGAAGGGCAGUAAGUUAAUACCUUGCUGUUUUGACGUUACCAACAGAAUAAGCACCGGCUAACUUCGUG
rnacentral:rRNA from 1 species